UACGAAGGGGCUAGCGUUGCUCGGAAUCACUGGGCGUAAAGGGCGCGUAGGCGGGUCUUUAAGUCAGGGUGAAAUCCUGGAGCUCAACUCCAGAACUGCCUUUGAUACUGAGGAUCUUGAGUUCGGAGAGGUGAGUGGAACUGCGAGUGUAGAGGUGAAAUUCGUAGAUAUUCGCAAGAACACCAGUGGCGAAGGCGGCUCACUGGCCCGAUACUGACGCGUGAGCACGAAAGCGUGGGAGCAACAGG
rnacentral:rRNA from 1 species